rnacentral:lncRNA from 1 species
UCCAGGUGACAGUGCGGGACCCAUCAGGCAGGCCCCUCCGCCUGCCGCCUGUCCUUUCUCAUCCCAUCUUUGACAAUACGAUCGUCACCGGAUUGAGGAGAAACGUAAAAGGACAUAUGAGACCUUCAAGAGCAUCAUGAAGAAGAGUCCUUUCAGCGACCCACCGACCCCCGGCCUCCACCUCGACGCAUUGCUGUGCCUUCCCGCAGCUC